CAUGCAGUCGAGCGAGACCUUCGGUCUAGCGGCGGACGGGUUAGUAACGCGUGGGAACGUGCCCUUCUCUACGGAAUAGUCCCGGGAAACUGGGUUUAAUACCGUAUACGCCCUUCGGGGGAAAGAUUUAUCGGAGAAGGAUCGGCCCGCGUCUGAUUAGAUAGUUGGUGGGGUAAUGGCCUACCAAGUCUACGAUCAGUAGCUGGUUUGAGAGGAUGAUCAGCAACACUGGGACUGAGACACGGCCCAGACUCCUACGGGAGGCAGCAGUGGGGAAU
rnacentral:rRNA from 1 species